AUNACGUUGCCUCGGCGGGAACAGACGGCCCCGUAACACGGGCCGCCCCCGCCAGAGGACCCCCUAACUCUGUUUCUAUAAUGUUUCUUCUGAGUAAACAAGCAAAUAAAUUAAAACUUUCAACAACGGAUCUCUUGGCUCUGGCAUCGAUGAAGAACGCAGCGAAAUGCGAUAAGUAAUGUGAAUUGCAGAAUUCAGUGAAUCAUCGAAUCUUUGAACGCACAUUGCGCCCGCCAGUAUUCUGGCGGGCAUGCCUGUUCGAGCGUCAUUACAACCCUCAGGCCCCCGGGCCUGGCGUUGGGGAUCGGCGGAAGCCCCCUGCGGGCACAACGCCGUCCCCCAAAUACAGUGGCGGUCCCGCCGCAGCUUCCAUUGCGUAGUAGCUAACACCUCGCAACUGGAGAGCGGCGCGGCCACGCCGUAAAACACCCAACUUCUGAAUGUUGACCUCGAAUCAGGUAGGAAUACCCGCUGAACUUAAGCAUAUCAA
rnacentral:rRNA from 1 species